rnacentral:rRNA from 1 species
GAUGAACGCUGGCGGCGUGCCUAAUACAUGCAAGUCGAGCGAACGGACGAGAAGUUUCCCCCGCUGACGUUUGCGGCGGACGGGUGUGUAACAUGUGGACAACUUAUCUAUAAGACUGGGGUAACUUCGGAAAAGCGGAGCUAACACCGGAUAAUAUCUUGAACCGCAUGGUUCAAAAGUGAAAGACGGCCUUGCUGUCACUUAUAGAUGGAUUCGCGCUGCAUUAGCUAGUUGGUAUGGUAACGGCUUACCAAGGCGACGAUGCAUAGCCGACCUGAGAGGGUGAUCAGCCACACUGGAACUGAGACACGGUCCAGACUCCUACGGGAGGCAGCAGUGGGGAAUCUUCGACAAUGGGCGAAAGCCUGACGGAGCAACGCCGCGUGAGUGAUGAAGGUCUUCGGAUCGUAAAGCUCUGUUAUUAGGGAAGAACAUCUGUGUAAGUAACUGUGCACAUCUUGACGGUACCGAAUCAGAAAGCCACGGCUAACUACGUG